rnacentral:rRNA from 1 species
AUAAAAAAGUAGUACGUGUACUAUAUUGUAUGUACUUUACGAAUAAGGAUCGGCUAACUCCGUGCCAGCAGCCGCGGUAAUACGGAGGAUCCAAGCGUUAUCCGGAUUUAUUGGGUUUAAAGGGGUGCGUAGGCGGGAGAUUAAGUCAGUGGUGAAAGUUUGCAGCUCAACUGUAAAAUUGCCAUUGAAACUGAUUUUCUUGAGUGCAAAUGAGGUAGGCGGAAUGUGUUGUGUAGCGGUGAAAUGCUUAGAUAUAACACAGAACCCCGAUUGCGAAGGCAGCUUACUGGGAUGCAACUGACGCUGAGGCACGAAAGCGUGGGGAUCAAACAGGAUUAGAUACCCUGGUAGUCCACGCAGUAAACGAUGAAUACUAACUGUAUGCGAUAUACUGUAUGCGGUACAGCGAAAGCGUUAAGUAUUCCACCUGGGGAGUACGUUCGCAAGAAUGAAACUCAAAGGAAUUGACGGGGGGCCCGCACAAGCGGAGGACAUGUGGUUUAAUUCGAUGAUACGCGAGG